rnacentral:rRNA from 1 species
UUAAGAAAAAUCAAUAAUAAUAAAUUAUUAAUAAUUUAUAAAUUUUAAAAUUAAAGAAUUUGGCGGUAUUUUUUCUAAUUAGGGGAAUUUGUCUUUUAAAUGAUAAUCCACGAGGAACCUUACUUUUUUUAAAAAUUUAUGUAUUUCCGUUAUAAGAAAAUUUUUUAAAAAUAUAAAAUUUUCUAAGUUUUUCAAAAAAAAUUAUUUCAGGUCAAAGUAUAGUUUAUAAAAUAGUAAAGAUGAAUUACAAUAAAUUUUUUAUUUAUUAAUGGAUAAUUUAAUUAAAUUUAUUUUUGAAGGUGGACUUAAUAGUAAAUUUAGUUUAAAGAUGAAUAAAUUGAAAAAGAAUUAAAUUAUGU